GAAAGCAACUCUCACAUAUGGUCUGUAGCGUGCAAGGUCCCUUUUCGGUGGUCUGCAGAAGUAAAAAUACCCCACUUGAUGACCCAAGCAGCAGAAAGACAUGGCAACAUAUGAGCGAUGCUACAAAAACACACUCCUGCUCCAAAGCAACAAGCCAGAGGAUACAUGGGAAGGCUAAACUCUCUUCACUUCAAUUUUUAACUGCAGAUACCACUGUUUACAGAGGUCCUGCCAGGAGCCUGCUCCAGCGCAGGCUUCCCACAAGGUCACAGCCUCCUUCAGGAAUCCCCCUGCUCUGGGAUGGGGUCCUCCCCGGCCUGCAGGUGGAUCUGCUCCUCCAUGGACCUCCAUGGGCUUUAGGGGCACAGCCUGCCUCACCAUGGGCUGCAUGAUGGGCUGCAGGGGAAUUUCUGCUGUGGUGUCUGGAGCACCUUCUGCUCUCCUUCCUCAUGGACCCUUGUGUCUGCAGAGCUGUUUCUAUCACAUAUUCUUACUCCUUUUUACGGCUGCAUUUGUGUGGGGUUUUUUCCCCCUUCUGAAAUCUGUUAUCCCAGAGGUGCUACCACUGUUGCUGAUGGGCUUGGCUUUGGCCAGCAGUGCAUCCAUCUUGGAGCCGGCUGGCAUUGGCUCAAUUGGACAUUGGGGAAGCUUUUAGCAGCUUCUCACAGAAGCCACCCCUGUAGCAUCCCUGCUACCAAAACCUUGACAUGCAAACCCAAUACCUUUUGUUUUGCCAGGGGUGCCUGCCAGAUUCCCAGGCUGCAGGCAAAAGCCACUUCCCUGAAAUCUCCCAUGCCUGCCCCUCACAGUCCUGAUAUAGGCUCUCAGCCUGUAAGGGCCAGUCACUGAAACCUGGUACCCAGCCAGGGAAACGUGCUAUAAACAUGAACCUACAGAAAACAGCUGCCUAACUGCUGGCGUGCUACGGAAGAGCAUGGUUAAAGAGUAGAGGAGAAGGCAUCCCAGUCUGCCCUUAAUUACAGUACCUUAACCACACUCUGCAGUUUUCAGCCAAGGCUGCUUGUUGUCUUGGGAUGAAUGCCUGUAAAUUUGAAGUAAGUAAACGACUUCAUUGUGAGGAUUUGGCUUGGGAGAGCCUUAACAGUAUCCUGAAGAGUUAUUUAAAUGUCAAUAACGUUUCUAAUUUGGGAUAUAGGAAUUAAACAAACCUCUGUGGAAUCAGCAAGUUACUAGUUUAAGUUUGUGCGGCUGUGAACAAAUAUGUGUGACAGAGAAAACUUCUAGUCAAAUAAAAGCAACAAACUCA